rnacentral:rRNA from 1 species
UACGGGGGGGGCAAGCGUUGUUCGGAAUUACUGGGCGUAAAGGGCUCGGAGGUGGCCAACUAAGUCAGACGUGAAAUCCCUCGGCUUAACCGGGGAACUGCGUCUGAUACUGGAUGGCUUGAGUUCGGGAGAGGGAUGCGGAAUUCCAGGUGUAGCGGUGAAAUGCGUAGAUAUCUGGAGGAACACCGGUGGCGAAGGCGGCAUCCUGGACCGACACUGACACUGAGGAGCGAAAGCCAGGGGAGCAAACGGG